GGCCAGAUCUGUUUAGAACUCUGCUCUACUUUUUAAGUCUCUGGUCCCAUAUCUGUAAAACAGGUAUAAUACCAUCCUGCAGAGUUUAGUCUCAGCAAUAGUGAUGAGACGCGAAGCAGCUAGCCUAGUACCUGGAACACAGCAGUCAACAAAUAGCCUUUAAACAUCACAAUUCUGCAGUAUAAUCUCCCAAAUAUCACUAAAACCUAUGACCUUUCUAGUUACAUAAAUGUGCCUAACAAGAAAAUCUAUCUGCAUUGUGUCUUAAUGGUAGGAAAAACUCAUAAACUUGGGGAAGAAACCAGUUUUACCAAAGCCAAAACACAAAUUGUUAAGCAGGUAAGAAAACUCUUAAAAUCUUUAAUUGUCUAGAUUAUUAUAAUAGAAUCUUAUGGAGGUUUUAGUCAUUCAAAAUUUUGACAUGAGUCAGGGUGAAAUGUACCACCUAAGAGAGAAAGACUUAAACAGAACUAAUGAAAGACGAGUUCUUACUUAAUAAUUAUUGAGUAAAAAACUUAAAAAUUUGGAAGGCUCCGGUUUCAAACUAUAAUUGCAACAGAGUAACUGGUAUGGAUAUGAUGUGAUAUGCUACAAAGUAAUUAUUUUUAUUCAAAGACAAUCCUCAUUAAUUAAAGUGUAAGCUUUAGUUAUUUCGGUUAAAGCUACAUGAAUGGCUAAGAUUUUAUUUCUUAAAUAAAAAUACAAGCAGACUUUAUUUCCAUGUUAUUCUAAGUAAAUUCUGAAAGACAUCUGAGAGAACUCAAUUAAGAACGUUUUAAAUAAAGAACAAGCCCUUAUGAAAAUUGGCCAUGAUGUUUCCCUUAAAUUCCUUAUUCUGCUGCUGCUUAUGAAGCCGAAGUAAGAAAAAUGGCCAAAUCAAGUUUAAUCAAUAGAAUUUUCAAGCUGAAAGAACCCGAGAUAACCUAACAGCUUUCCACAUACAAAAGAGGAAACUUUUUCAGAGUAUCAAAUCACCAGAGACAAGGCCUGUGAAUCACAACUCACAAGCUAAAACUCCUGACUCUAGAAAGUAGCCUGCACCGUCUGAACGAAUCUUGACACCACCUUUCAUUAAGGCAAGUCAGGUAGCAGCAGGGAGCUUAGCUGUGGCAACUUCUACGCUAUUUCUGGGCUUGUAGCCAUUCCUGGAACUGGAAAGGAGACCAGUAAUAUUAGACAGUGAAAGCCUGAUUUACACUAGCGCCAAGGAGCUACAGACGCUUCCUUCUUAGGUGCCUUUCCAUCCACUCCCAUGCAUUUCACAAAGGACACAGCAGAGCGAAUUAUUGGGGAGGCAGUCAUCAGGAAAACUGUCUAACCAUGAUUAAAAUAACACAUACACAUACUGGUCUCUGGAGUGAAGGAUGUUAAAAUAAAUUCUGACCCUCUCCUGGAAUUACUAUUUGGGCAAGUUAAAAAAAAAAACACAAAAAACCCCACAAAGUCUUACUGCCAGCAAGUCAAGUUUUCUGUACACACAAUCCAAUGGCCGAGUCUGCUUUUUCUGGCUACUACAGGCACAGGCUAGGUCCAAGCAGCACAAGCUUUGAAACCAUCAUCCAAGUUUUCAAACAAGAAUGAGUAAGAAAACAACUGCUACUAAUACAACAUACAAACAUUAACAUAUGCCCGACAAACAGUAUUUUAGAUCAUUAGAUUAUUUGCCAAAAGUCUGUUCCCUGGUAAAUAAUGGUUACUGUUGUUAUCCCUAAACUAGUUAUACAUGUCACAGCCUGCUCCUCAAAGAGAACAUUCUAUAGUCUUUCAAGAAUAAAAACCUGCUUUAUUUGGCACACACCAGUGAAGAGGUCUUGCAACAUUUGAAGAGGUAGUCAAACAGAGCAGUUCAGUGCAAGAGAUCACAAAACUUGAUCACCAAGCAAACCCGAGUUAAUCUCUCAGUUCCUGUAGAUUAGAAGACAAUGAGAACUCACUCUUUCUGCUUGUUGACUUUUGAAUCUCUUUAUUUGUGCACUGAAAGAACAAGUACCUCUAUGGGAACUCUAUGCCCACACAGUUUAGUUAUUUUUCAAGUUUACUUUGGGCAAAUAUCGAUCAUUCUUUUGUGAAAAGAGGUUCUUAAAUUGAAAACAGCAAAAACUUCUUCACGCAGCAUGGCUGCAUUUCCCCUUAGAAACAACGUUCAGUGGCUCCACCACGGUCCUGCUGCGCUUGGUCUCCUCGACGUGAGGCUUUAACUAUCGUCCAGCCAGAAGAGGAGAGGGUCAAAGAGUGGAUGUGACCCAGAGGAACUCGCUAGAAUCCUUCAGGAGUCGCUGGGUGUGACCUUCACCUUGACUCUAGGCGGUUUGUGGGGACCAACUCCUUUCUUGGCCGCCGUUCCUUGGCCGGAGUCUCCGGGGGUCACGGACCUCGCCCACCAGGGCCCUCCACCCUUGGCCAGGCUCCCGCAGGGGAGCGGCUGUUCGGAUGACCUCGGGGGCAAAGGUAGGGGGUCCUCAGCGCUUCCAGACCGGCUCUCAGAGACCGGAGCUCACCCGCGCCUCAGGCAGGAGGCGCGGGCCUCGGGCUUCGGGCCAGACACCAGCCGGGCGCCGCCGCUCACCUCGAGCGGCCUCACCUGCCUCUCCCCGGAAACCCAGGAGCCGCCCCACCCUCCCCGCUUUCCCGGGACCCACGCAGCAAUGGCGCAGCCGGAAACUGGCCCCGCGACUUCCUCAGGCCGGAUCCGGGCGAGGGCCGGCCUGUGGGCGGGUUGGGAGAGUCGCGGCUUCCGCCUUCCUGCUUCCGGCCUGGAGCCAGUAUAUAGAAUUUAAGCCUUCUCUCAGAAGUGUUUUGGUAGAGUUAAAGAAGAAGACAGCCAACCAACCGUCAUCUGAAAUUGUGACUGGCUGAUAAUCCCAGGACAAAAUUAGAGAUCACUACUCAAGCAUAAGGCCUCCACGAACAUGUUUGAUUUAAAGGCUUGGGCUGAGUAUGUUGUGGAAUGGGCUGCAAAGGACCCAUAUGGCUUCCUUACAACAGUUAUUUUGGCUCUGACUCCAUUGUUUCUAGCAAGUGCUGUGCUGUCUUGGAAAUUGGCCAAGAUGAUUGAGGCCAGGGAAAAGGAGCAAAAGAAGAAACAAAAACGUCAAGAAAAUAUUGCAAAAGCUAAACGACUGAAAAAGGAUUGAAGGAAUGAACAGGCUGUGCGUCCAGAGGAAAAUUGUUCGGAAAAUUGUGCAUCUUUGAAAGGACCCAUUAAGGUUUCUUUUUGGAUCUUAUGACAGCAUUACUAAAUGAAGUCUGAGUCUAUGGAAGAAUCAUGUCAGUUCUCACCUGUACUGUAGCAACUUUUCGGCUUCGGUAUAGAAGUCUCUUGACAGUUACUGUAAAUUGGCAUUUAUUAUGUUACAGACUCUUAUAACUGACUUUCAUUUGCCUUUUUGCAGCUUAUGUAUGAAUACUCAAAUGAAAACAUCCUAUGAAGAAAAGUGGCUUUAGAUUAUGAACUCUAUUCAAAAAUGGCUUAAAAUGUAGUCCUGUUCUGGACAAAGAUUAAGAAUGUAAAAAUCAAGAGUUGUUCUGAGCAGAAAAGCGUGGUUUGGCUUAAAAGAUAUAUGGUGUAUUAAUUACAUCUCUUUAUCAUUAUUACUUAUUUCUUGAAAUAGAAUCAUUUCUGGUUUCCUCAGAGCAAACUAAUAUUAUUCAAUGAGUACUUCUUUAUUUUCUGUAUUUUUCUUAUUUUAGCUUUUGAGAUACUGGUAAUUACCAGAUAGUCUGCAUUUUUAAAAAUCUAAUUUUAUAAAGAAUUUUCGUAUUAUUUUGACUAUGUAGAAUACCACCUACUGGAUAUAAUCAUUUUUGUACUUAAUGAGCACUGCCAUUUUCUUAGAGAUGACUUGAGUAGAGUAACACUAUGAUUUAAAGCUUAAGAGUAAAAACGCCAAACCUUGGAACCAGUUUAUUCUCACUUGUGCUGAGUAGACAUGUGAAGUAGUUAACAUGUCUCAUCAGAUAAUUUGCUGAUUAUAUAGAUACCACUUUUGUUUUUUAUUGCAUUCUUUGUUUUAAUUCAUGUGGCGGUGAUGUCCUUUACUUUUUGAUCACACAGGUUCACGGUGAAAAUUAAAAUUUCAACUUUCUUUUAAGGAGCUUUUAAAGAGUUACAGUUAUGUCAUGUAUCAUAAAUGGUAAAAAAAAGUCUUAAUAUUUGGAAAAAUUUUGUUUGCAUUGUAUUAAUUGGGUGAAAAAGGUAUAAACUGUGUCAAAAUGAGACUGUUAUAAUUAGAAAUAAAGAGGUAAAGGAUAUUUCCUUCAGUUAAAUAGUAUAAUUGGAACUUUUUACUCUUUAACAUGGCUUUUUUAAAUGCAUGGUUGAUAAUUUUGUUUUCAGUAAUUAAUAGCUUAUUAAUGUUUUCCUCACCUCUAAUAAUGAAUUUUAAAGUGCAAAAAAUUGUCAAAUAGCUUUAAUUUAAAAAUGAAACUAGAUAUUGAAAUAAAUUUGAUACUUUUUUAUAAAGA